rnacentral:rRNA from 1 species
AUACGUAGGUGACAAGCGUUAUCCGGAUUUAUUGGGUUUAAAGGGAGCGUAGGUGGAUUGUUAAGUCAGUUGUGAAAGUUUGCGGCUCAACCGUAAAAUUGCAGUUGAAACUGGCAGUCUUGAGUACAGUAGAGGUGGGCGGAAUUCGUGGUGUAGCGGUGAAAUGCUUAGAUAUCACGAAGAACUCCGAUCGCGAAGGCAGCUCACCGGGCCGGAACUGACACUGAUGCUCGAAAGUGCGGGUAUCAAACAGGAUUAGAUACCCUGGUAGUCCGCACAGUAAACGAUGAAUACUCGCUGUUUGCGAUACACGGUAAGCGGCCAAGCGAAAGCGUUAAGUAUUCCACCUGGAGAGUACGCCGGCAACGGUGAAACUUAAAGGAAUUGACGGGG